AUUCAUCUCUUUCUGUCUUCCUAGUGGUGCCAUCGAUGAGCUCUUGAAUAACUUUCUGCAGUGUAAUUCAGAACUCCCCAUUACUUAUUCCUUCUGAUGCUAACAUGCUAAAAAUUCUGUCUCUGAUUUAACCACAAAUAUGUGUUUGGAUGGACAUAAAAGUUGGUCAAAAUAACUUUUAAAUUAUUAUACACUUUUUGAAGUAUUUGGCAACUUCAAUAAUUGCUUUAAAAAAAGUUAAAAAGUACUUUUUUUUAAGUAAAAAGUAUCUUAACUCCUACUUUUUUAUUUUUGGUUUAUACGUCAUUCUAGUUUGACCAAGUAAAAAACAUCCCUGUCACUGUAAUUCUCACGUAUUUCAAAAUUACCUUGAUGAUUGUCCUAAAAUAUUUGUUCUCUUCUUACCAUUUUUAUGUUUUUUCUUUAUUUUUGUGUUUCUCUCUCCAGGUUUGUAUUUUUCUCUUCAUUUCUUUAUUCAGUUCGUAGGUGUGAGAGACUAACUUUGGAUGACUUCAAGAGGGGUAGAGAUAGGCCGGAGAAAUACUAGAGGGAAGUGAUUAGACAUGACAUGAAGCAGCUUCAGUUUAUUGAAGACAUGACUCUAGAUAGAAAGGUGUGGAGGGCGCAAAUAAGGGUAGAAGGCUAGUGUGAGUGUGUGGGUUGUAGCAAGCAGUCAGGAGAGAUCUUGUGUAGGUAAUCCUAGGACUGUGCAUAUAGGUGUCUUUGGUACGUGAGUGUAUGUUACAACUAGGUGGGUGUCGUAUCUCUUAUUUCUUAGCUCCUAUUUUCUUACUUCAUGUUACCCUUAUUUCUCAUAUUGCGUAUUCCUCCGAUUUCUAUUUUAUUAUUUUUUAUUCCUUAUUUAUGUUAUGUCAUCCAUCCUCGAUUUCUAUUUUAUUAUUUCUUAUUCCUUAUUUAUGUUAUGUCAUCCAUCCCCUUAUUUACUAUUCUUUAUCUUGACCCGGGGGCCUAUCGAAAACGGCCUCUCUACAGCGGUAUGGACUGUGUACAUCUUACCCUCCCUAUACCCCACUUUGUGGGAACACACUAGGUUUGUUGUUGUUGUUGUUGUAUUUCUUUUUUUAAUGGGUCGCGAGCAAUUUGAUGCUUGUGAGGUUUAACAGAAAUUGAGAAGAAUUAAUUUUUUUUGGUAGUUCAUUUGACUGAACAACAAAUAUUUUAAUGGGUUGUUAGCAAUUUGGCUUCUUUUUAGGCGACUUUUGUUCAAUUUCCUUGA
rnacentral:lncRNA from 1 species